rnacentral:rRNA from 1 species
AUUGAACGCUGGCGGCAGGCCUAACACAUGCAAGUCGAACGAGUGGCGGACGGGUGAGUAAUGUCUGGGAAACUGCCCGAUGGAGGGGGAUAACUACUGGAAACGGUAGCUAAUACCGCAUACCAUCGGAUGUGCCCAGAUGGGAUGAGCUAGUAGGUGGGGUAACGGCUUACCUAGGCGACGAUCCCUAGCUGGCCUGAGAGGAUGACCAGCCACCCUGGAACUGAGACACGGUCCAGACUCCUACGGGAGUCAGCAGUGGGUAAUAUUGCACAAUGGUGGCAAGCCUGAUGCAGCCAUGCCUGUUGUAUGAAGAAGGCCUUCGGGUUGUAAAGUACUUUCAGUGAGGAGGCGUUACUCGCAGAAGAAGCACCGGCUAACUCCGUGCCAGCAGCCGCGGUAAUUC